ACGGCGAGUGAAGCGGCAAAAGCUCAAAUUUGAAAUCUGGUACCUUCGGUGCCCGAGUUGUAAUUUGGAGAGGGCAACUUUGGGGCCGUUCCUUGUCUAUGUUCCUUGGAACAGGACGUCAUAGAGGGUGAGAAUCCCGUGUGGCGAGGAGUGCGGUUCUUUGUAAAGUGCCUUCGAAGAGUCGAGUUGUUUGGGAAUGCAGCUCUAAGUGGGUGGUAAAUUCCAUCUAAAGCUAAAUAUUGGCGAGAGACCGAUAGCGAACAAGUACAGUGAUGGAAAGAUGAAAAGAACUUUGAAAAGAGAGUGAAAAAGUACGUGAAAUUGUUGAAAGGGAAGGGCAUUUGAUCAGACAUGGUGUUUUGUGCCCUCUGCUCCUUGUGGGUAGGGGAAUCUCGCAUUUCACUGGGCCAGCAUCAGUUUUGGUGGCAGGAUAAAUCCAUAGGAAUGUAGCUUGCCUCGGUAAGUGUUAUAGCCUGUGGGAAUACUGCCAGCUGGGACUGAGGACUGCGACGUAAGUCAAGGAUGCUGGCAUAAUGGUUAUAUGCCGCC
rnacentral:rRNA from 1 species